AACGAACGCUGGCGGCAUGCCUAACACAUGCAAGUCGAACGAACCCUACGGGGUUAGUGGCGCACGGGUGCGUAACGCGUGGGAAUCUGCCCUUUGCUUCGGAAUAACAGUUAGAAAUGACUGCUAAUACCGGAUGAUGUCUUCGGACCAAAGAUUUAUCGGCAAGGGAUGAGCCCGCGUAGGAUUAGGUAGUUGGUGGGGUAAAGGCCUACCAAGCCGACGAUCCUUAGCUGGUCUGAGAGGAUGAUCAGCCACACUGGGACUGAGACACGGCCCAGACUCCUACGGGAGGCAGCAGUGGGGAAUAUUGGACAAUGGGCGCAAGCCUGAUCCAGCAAUGCCGCGUGAGUGAUGAAGGCCUUCGGGUCGUAAAGCUCUUUUACCAGGGAUGAUAAUGACAGUACCUGGAGAAUAAGCUCCGGCUAACUCCGUGCCAGCCGCCGCCGUAAAAC
rnacentral:rRNA from 1 species